rnacentral:lncRNA from 1 species
GGGGUCAAGGGUGAUGCCUCCUCUGUGCAUUGAAGGCCUAAUGGAGGAUUCAAGGAAGCAGGACCCGGAGAAGUCGUCCCCCACCAUGAGCUCGGCCCUGAGCUCUGAGUGGCUCUGCCCUCCCUGCUUGUCCAGGUGCCUCCUGCAUCCCAAGCAAUUCGGUGCUGGACAGAUUGCCCUCUGCACGUGCCCGGCCCCUUUGGAAGGCCGCCUGCUGCUGUGAGGACAGUGUGGGUCCUUGCUCUUUGAAGGGUUGGGGUGAGGGGAGGUGAGCUUGUGUGGGGGCCAUGGGCUGAGUGUGGGGUUCAAGAGUGACCCAGGUCGGUCCCACCUCAUGGGAGCCCCAGGUGAGAGUGGGGUUCCUUCAAACUGGGGUGCAGUGGAAGUUGCUGGCUGUCUGUCUCCCAGAGCCAGGCCCAGCUGACCGGAGGUGCUGAGAGGGGUGUGGCCACCUUCUCGAGGGCCCACUGUCAGUGGAUCAGGAGCAAAUGUCUCAGCCUCGAAGGUGUCUGAGGAAUGUGUCGGCUGUGGUCGAGAACAUUCUGCAAGCUAAGCAGGAGUGGCAGCAGGGAGGUCAGGGGUCCUGAGGCUGUGGGGUCGGCUGCAACGGGGAACCCGGGGCCUGCUCCUGGGAGCACCUUCCUGGGCUGCUCCCACUUGGCCAAUUGGACCCAGGUGGCUGUAGCCCAUGCUGCCCCCGUGCGGGCCUGAGGCGUGUGAACAGGAUCUGAGCCGUGCCCGCUGUGCUCUUCCUGUCUCUGGGGCCCUCGUUCCUUUUCUGUAGAGUUUGCCUCGUGUUUCACUGAGGUGAGACGGGACUCACCGUUCCAAUUCCCAAGACACAGCCCUUUCAGUCUUAAAACCUGGAAAGCCCUGGCAAAAGGGACAAGUUGGGUGCCCCAGAGGUCAGGUCCUGUAGCCCUUUCUGGAAGCAGAAGAGAGAGUUGGAGCAUUGGAGGUUCCCAGGCUGUUCCGAACUCUGAGUGCACCCAGGUCCCUGUGCUGCUCCUGCACCCGUCGGAGAGUGAGCACAGAGAGGGACAGGAAGCUGGGGACAGUCUAUCGCAUCCUCAGUGCCUAGCAGGAAGGCCAGGUGCCACGAAGGCAUACCCCGCACUCAAGAUGUCACAGCCAGAGGCAUGUGGAGCCUCCCUUAACCCAGACAUGGACAGAGGCGGGCAAGAAGGGAGUGUGAGGGAGGACCCCAGCCUGUCCUUGGUGUGGGGGUCCUUAGGCCAUGGCUCCCUUCAGGCUUUCUCCCCCCCCAGGGAAGGUAACUGGAGUGACACUGAGUCACAGCAGGGCCAGGGUG